UACAGAGGUCUCAAGCGUUGUUCGGAUUCAUUGGGCGUAAAGGGUGCGUAGGUGGCGCGCUAAGUCAGGUGUGAAAUUUCGGAGCUUAACUCCGAAACUGCAUUUGAUACUGGCGUGCUUGAGGACUGGAGAGGAGACUGGAAUUCAUGGUGUAGCAGUGAAAUGCGUAGAGAUCAUGAGGAAGACCAGUGGCGAAGGCGGGUCUCUGGACAGUUCCUGACACUGAGGCAACGAAGGCCAGGGGAGCAAACGGGG
rnacentral:rRNA from 1 species